rnacentral:tRNA from 1 species
GGAGGUGUGCCCGAGUAGGGACUACCUUGAUAGAGUAGGCACGGAGCCAAUAAUCUCCCACCUCCCCCA